GGUGGUGCAUUUGAAUUCUUUAUGGUUACAUUAUUAUUGACUAAUAUUUCUAUUUGCUACUUGUUAGAUUAGAAAUGGUACAAACUUAUUGCCCGAUAAUGUAGUUAAGCUUCCUGAUUAUAUGAUUCUUGACCAAAAAUUAAUGUUCUUAGUGUAUGUUGUUUAUCUAAGGCAAGCAAAAGAUGAUGUACUAAAUGAUGCCUUCUUUAGAGAUAGAAACAUUUUAUUUGCAUGGAAUGAUAAAGUA
rnacentral:lncRNA from 1 species